rnacentral:sRNA from 1 species
AGCUGAUGCAUAUGGCGGCUUUUUCCUCCCAGUGCCGCCGCAGCAGCUGUUCCCCUCUGGAGGUUGAAGAACCUUCACACUUACGGGCCGCGGAGUUUUCCGGCGGCCCAUUUU